AUGCGACUUCGAGGUGAUGAACAAGGAAAUACUCUCAGGCUCGGUAGCGGAAGGAGAAGGUUUGUGGUACGUGCAAGCAAGGGCUUCCUUUCUUAUAGUGAAAUAAGGCUCAAUAUUUGGGGGGAAAUUGGAGCCACGAACUGUAGUCUGGUUCAUGCAGGUUUUGAAGCAGGCUGUUUUGAUAGCUUUGGACAGAAGGUGCAGGUUUUGAAGCAGUUUGUAGAAGAGCAUAAUUUUGGACUGAUGCAAGAGAUUUUGUUGCUAAUGAAGAUUGGUGGAGUUUUGAAGAGGAAAGCAUGGUUUAGCAUGAAGAAUUCAAAGGAUUUCGAAACAUGA